rnacentral:rRNA from 1 species
CCCUUAGACGUUCUGGGCCGCACACGCGCUACACUGACCAGUGCAACAAGCAUCCGUCCUUGGCCGACAGGCACGGGCAAUCUUUGAACGCUGGUCGUGAUGGGGAUAGACUUUUGCAAUUUUUGGUCUUCAACGAGGAAUUCCUAGUAAACGCAAGUCAUCAACUUGCAUUGAUUACGUCCCUGCCCUUUGUACACACCGCCCGUCGCACCUACCGAUUGAAUGGUCCGGUGAAGCCUCCGGAUUGGCGCGCACCUCGGUGCCGCCGAGAAGUUGGCUAAACCUUACCAUUUAGAGGAAGGUGAAGUCGUAACA